rnacentral:rRNA from 1 species
UUCAGUUGAAUGAAGACCGUACCGUAAACCGACACAGGUGGGUAGGAUGAGAAUUCUAAGGCGCUUGAGAGAACUCAGGAGAAGGAACUCGGCAAAAUAGCACCGUAACUUCGGGAAAAGGUGUGCCCUUUGUAUGUGUAGCGCCUCGCGCGUGAAGCAGAAUAGGGUUGCAAUGAAAUGGUGGCUGCGACUGUUUAAUAAAAACAUAGCACUCUGCAAACACGAAAGUGGACGUAUAGAGUGUGACGCCUGCCCGGUGCCGGAAGGUUAAAUGAUGGGGUGCAAGCUCUUGAUUGAAGCCCCGGUAAACGGCGGCCGUAACAAUAACGGUCCUAAGGUAGCGAAAUUCCUUGUCGGGUAAGUUCCGACCUGCACGAAUGGCGUAACGAUGGCCACACUGUCUCCUCCUGGGACUCAGCGAAGUUGAAAUGUUUGUGAAGAUGCAAUCUCCCCGCGGCUAGACGGAAAGACCCCGUGCACCUUUACUGUAGCUUUACAUUGGACUUUGAUAACAUUUGUGUAGGAUAGGUGGGAGGCUUUGAAGUGGAUUCGCCAGAAUUCAUGGAGCCAACGUUGAAAUACCACCCUGAUGUUGUUGAGGUUCUAACCUAGAUCCAUUAUCUGGAUUGGGGACCGUGUAUGGUAGGCAGUUUGACUGGGGCGGUCUCCUCCCAAAUUGUAACGGAGGAGUACGAAGGUACGCUAGGUACGGUCGGAAAUCGUGCUGAUAGUGCAAUGGCAAAAGCGUGCUUGACUGCGAGACUGACAAGUCGAGCAGAUGCGAAAGCAGGUCAUAGUGAUCCGGUGGUUCUGUAUGGAAGGGCCAUCGCUCAACGGAUAAAAGGUACGCCGGGGAUAACAGGCUGAUUCCUCCCAAGAGUUCAUAUCGACGGGGGAGUUUGGCACCUCGAUGUCGGCUCAUCACAUCCUGGGGCUGUAGCCGGUCCCAAGGGUAUGGCUGUUCGCCAUUUAAAGUGGUACGUGAGCUGGGUUUAAAACGUCGUGAGACAGUUUGGUCCCUAUCUGCCGUGGGCGUUGGAAGUUUGAGUGGACCUGCUCCUAGUACGAGAGGACCGGAGUGGACGCACCUCUGGUGUACCGGUUAUGACGCCAGUCGUAUCGCCGGGUAGCUAUGUGCGGAAGAGAUAACCGCUGAAAGCAUCUAAGCGGGAAACUCUCCUCAAGAUAAGACUUCCCGAGGGUUUAACCCUCCUAAAGGUUCGUCGAAGACUACGACGUUGAUAGGUCGGGUGUGGAAGCAUAGUGAUAUGUUAAGCUAACCGAUACUAAUUGACCGUGAGGCUUGAUCCU